UACGGAGGGGGCUAGCGUUGUUCGGAAUUACUGGGCGUAAAGCGCACGUAGGCGGAUCAGUAAGUUAGGGGUGAAAUCCCGGGGCUCAACCCCGGAACUGCCUUUAAGACUGUUGGUCUGGAGUCCGAGAGAGGUGAGUGGAAUUCCGAGUGUAGAGGUGAAAUUCGUAGAUAUUCGGAAGAACACCAGUGGCGAAGGCGGCUCACUGGACCGUUGUUGACGCUGAGGUGCGAAAGCGUGGGGAGCAAACAGG
rnacentral:rRNA from 1 species